rnacentral:tRNA from 1 species
GCCCCCAUGUUGAAAUGGAUAUCAUAACAGGCUUCGAACCUGUUGUUGGGAGUUCGAAUCUCUCUGGGGGCA